UACGUAGGGGACAAGCGUUGUCCGGAUUUACUGGGCGGAAAGAGCGCGCAGGCGGUCGAUCAAGUCGAGUGUGAAAGCCCCCGGCUCAACUGGGGAGGGUCAUUCGAUACUGAUCGACUCGAAGGCAGGAGAGGGUAGUGGAAUUCCCGGUGUAGUGGUGAAAUGCGUAGAUAUCGGGAGGAACACCAGUGGCGAAGGCGACUACCUGGCCUGUUCUUGACGCUGAGGCGCGAAAGCUAGGGGAGCAAACGGG
rnacentral:rRNA from 1 species